rnacentral:tRNA from 3 species
GCGAGGGUGGCGGAAUUGGUAGACGCGCUAGCUUCAGGUGUUAGUGUUCUUACGGACGUGGGGGUUCAAGUCCCCCCCCUCGCACCA